UGAAUACGAGAUGCUACGGCGUCGAAGCAGUCUAUGUCAUACUUCCAAGAAAAGCUUGCACUGUCAUAAACAAAUAAUGCCUGUACCAUAACCGACACAGGUGGGUAGGUAGAGUAUACUAAGGGGCGCGAGAUAACUCUCUCUAAGGAACUCGGCAAAAUGACUCCGUAACUUCGGGAGAAGGAGUGCCUUAUUUUAUAAGGUUGCAAUAACAAGAUCCAAGCAACUGUUUACCAAAAACACAGGUCUCCGCUAAGUCGUAAGACGAUGUAUGGGGGCUGACGCCUGCCCAGUGCCAGAAGGUUAAAGAAGUUGGUUAGCAUCCGCGAAGCUGAUAACUGAAGCCCUGGUGAACGGCGGCCGUAACAAUAACGGUCCUAAGGUAGCGAAAUUCCUUGUCGGGUAAGUUCCGACCCGCACGAAAGGCGUAAUGAUUUGGAUACUGUCUCAGAGAGGGGCUCGGUGAAAUAGACUUGUCUGUGAAGAUGCGGACUACCUGCACCAGGACAGAAAGACCCUAUGAAGCUUUACUGUAACUUGAAAUUGAAAUUGGACUUUACUUGCGCAGUAUAGGUGGGAGGCGUUGAGAAUAUUCUUGCGGGAAUGUUGGAGCCAUCAGUGAGAUACCACUCUUGUAAUGUUAGAUUUCUAACUUUGUAUCAUUAUCUGGUCAAAGGACAGUUUCAGGCGGGCAGUUUGACUGGGGCGGUCGCCUCCCAAACGGUAACGGAGGCGCACAAAGGUUUCCUCUGAACGGGUAGAAAUCGUAUCUAGAGUGUAAAGGCAUAAGGAAGCUUGACUGUGAGACCUACAAGUCGAGCAGGGACGAAAGUCGGUCUUAGUGAUCUGACGGUGCUGAGUGGAAAGGCCGUCACUCAACGGAUAAAAGUUACUCUAAGGAUAACAGGCUGAUCUCCCCCAAGAGUUCACAUCGACGGGGAGGUUUGGCACCUCGAUGUCGGCUCAUCGCAUCCUGGGGCGGUAGUACGUCCCAAGGGUUGGGCUGUUCGCCCAUGAAAGCGGUACGCGAGCUGGGUUCAGAACGUCGUGAGACAGUUCGGUCCAUAUCCGGUGUAGGCGUUAGAAUAUUGAGAGGAGCCUUCUUUAGUACGAGAGGACCGAGAAGGACAUACCUCUGGUGUACCAGUUAUCGUGGCAACGGUAAACGCUGGGUAGCUAUGUAUGGAGUGGAUAACCGCUGAAAGCAUCUAAGUGGGAAGCCCACCUCAAGAUAAGUAUUCCC
rnacentral:rRNA from 1 species